UGGCGGCGUGCCUAAUACAUGCAAGUCGAACGGUCUUUCUAUGGAAGCUUGCUUCCACUGAGAAGAUAGUGGCGAACGGGUGAGUAACACGUGGGUAACCUGCCCAUAAGAGGGGGAUAACAUCCGGAAACGGGUGCUAAUACCGCAUAGUUUUCUUGGUCGCAUGAUCGGGAAAGGAAAGACGGCCUUUGUGCUGUCGCUUAUGGAUGGACCCGCGGCGUAUUAGUUAGUUGGUGAGGUAACGGCUCACCAAGACGAUGAUACGUAGCCGACCUGAGAGGGUGAUCGGCCACAUUGGGACUGAGACACGGCCCAAACUCCUACGGGAGGCAGCAGUAGGGAAUCUUCCGCAAUGGACGAAAGUCUGACGGAGCAACGCCGCGUGAGUGAAAGAAGGUUUUCGGAUCGUAAAACUCUGUUGUCAGAGAAGAACAAGUUGGAGAGUAACUGCUCCAGCCUUGACGGUAUUUGACCAGAAAGCCACGGCUAACUACGUGCCAGCCGCUGC
rnacentral:rRNA from 1 species